AUUUAGCAGCUACACCUAAAACUAUAUCUUAAUCCAACAUCGAGGUCGCAAUCUUUCUUAUCGAUAUGAACUCUCCAAAAAAAUUACGCUGUUAUCCCUAAAGUAACUUACUUUUUUAAUCAUUAAUAAUGGAUCAAUUAUUCAUAAAUUAAUGUAUAAUAAAAUUAAAAGUUAAUUAAAUUUUAAUAUCACCCCAACAAAAUAUAAUCAAUUAUUAUAAUAAAACUAAUCUAUAAAACUAUAAUAACCCUUAUAUAAAGAUUUAUAGGGUCUUCUCGUCUUUUAAAUAUAUUUUAGCUUUUUUACUAAAAAAUAAAAUUCUACUACAAUUUUUUAUGAAACAGUUAAUAUUUCGUCCAACCAUUCAUACAAGCCUCCAAUUAAAAGACUAAUGAUUAUGCUACCUUUGCACAGUUAAUAUACUGCGGCCAUUCAACAAUUCAGCGGGCAGGUUAGACUUUUUAAUUAUCCCAAAAAGACAUGUUUUU
rnacentral:rRNA from 1 species